rnacentral:miRNA from 1 species
UGCGGGAGGCGGGGGGAGGAGGACAUAUAUAACUAUAUGUCCUCCUCCCCUCGCCUCCCGCAUGUAUUUUAUA